rnacentral:rRNA from 1 species
CCAAUAGCGUAUAUUAAAGUUGCUGCAGUUAAAAAGCUCGUAGUUGAAUUUCGGAACCAAUAUGUUGGUUGUGCCUCGGUACGUACUGGCAUUGUUGGUUUCUCCCUUCUGACGAACUAUGAUGUCAUUAAUUUGGUGUCAUGGGGAAUCAGGACUGUUACUUUGAAAAAAUUAGAGUGUUUAAAGCAGGCUCACGCUUGAAUACAUUAGCAUGGAAUAAUGAAAUAGGACGUUUGAUUCUAUUUUGUUGGUUUCUAGGAUUGACGUAAUGAUUAAUAGGGAUAGUUGGAGGCAUUAGUAUUCAAUUGUCAGAGGUGAAAUUCUUGGAUUUAUUGAAGACUAACUACUGCGAAAGCAUUUGCCAAGGAUGUUUUCAUUAAUCAAGAACGAAAGUUAGGGGAUCGAAGACGAUCAGAUACCGUCGUAGUCUUAACCAUAAACUAUGCCGACUAGGGAUCGGAUGAUGUUAAUUUUUUAAUGACUCAUUCGGCGCCUUACG